AGGAUACAGAGCAGCAAUGUGGAGCAGAGGCAGCUGGCGGUGUGUGAUAGGAUUGCUGCACUUAUUACGGAGGGCCAGCUUCUAUUCCCUGUGGCCGGAGACCAUCAUUGUAGCAGCAGAUCGGUAGGACCAGCCUCCUAUGGAUACCCCACUGCUUCCGAUGGCACUGGCUGACAGGCAUCUAAAGAGGCAGAGCAGUGAUGGACUCUACUGACUGUGUGAUUGGGAACUAUACACAUCUGUAUAUAACCCUAUUUAUAGAGCAGUGGAGAUUGCAAGGUGCAGUGCUCAAUCCUACAUAAUUUUUUGAUUGACUCAUAAAUAUACAGAAAGAAUGCAAGAUCAAAGCACCACCUGCAGAAUCAAAGUACACAGCAUUAAUCACGCCAAAGUUGCAACAAUAAUAAUAUAUUUAUUGGAUCUAUAAGGACGGUACUGGAAUGCCAUGAUUAGAAGCUUCCAAGCAUCCUGGUGUUUGGAGCUGCACCUUUGGAAUGAGCCUCUGGAGUCAUGUCUAGCAACAUCUGGGAGAAUACACACCUGAAAAAGUCUAUCUGGCGAAACGCAUUGGGUAUUCUAUUAUGCUUUGAUGUAACCUCCAACCUAUAUCAUUGGAAGGAGGAUCUCUUGAAAGAAGCAAUCUGUUCAUCUAUGAGAAAUCAAACCUCCAUGUUAUGUGAGGAGGCUGUCAUCUGUUAAUGCAUCUAAGGAUAUA